GCUCUGAAGAUUCUCAGCUUCUAUUGUAUCUGCAAGGUGGCUUUAGUGCAGUGCAUCUCCCCGCGUGUGCAGCUCCACACUCAGUGUGCUUGUGUUGUAACCUCGCAUUAGGCCGCACCGGAAGCAGUUACACGGGGGAAAUCAGCAGGCGCUAGGAAUCAAGGCUGGUCCUCUCCCUCCUCCCAGCUGGCGAACAAACAUGGAUAGCACAGCACGGGUUACUUCUUUACUUCUUGAAAUUCCCUGGCAGUUUUAAAAUAUCAUUUAGAUUAAACCCGAGAGUGGAAGAGCCUGGGGAGACGGAAACGAGAGUCAUACACUCACAAUGGCCCCCCUGGGAGAACAGCAGCACUGUGCUCUGAAGGAAGCAGCGCCCUCCAGUGAUGGCGCCUGGCGCAUCCGUGGGCCGGGUAAUGAAUGCUUGUGAAAUAUUUCACAAGCAUCAAGUGCUGCAUCAAUGCUGAGACAUAAUGGUGCCAUUAUGGCAGGACAGGACGCUUCAUUACACACCCUGGCAGUGGGGAUUCUCACGUGGGAGACGUUUGCUGAGUCUUGGCAUUCCAUCAGGCCCUGCGCUGCCACGGUGAGGGCCACAGGUGUAUGAGGGGCUGCACCAGCGUUAGCAGGCAGAACGAGAGGCUAUCAGUGCACCUCGCCUCCCCAUUUCCUCUCCACCCCUGAGAGAGACCAGCCCGCCAGAGAGCUGCAGCCCCCAUGGAUUCUCUGCAAAGCUGUGCGCACUGGGAGUUUCCCUCUGCGUGGCCACCUCCACUCUCACACUCUGGUCCCGCAACCCCAGCCAUGAUGCUUCAAAGAAUAUACAGAUGCUUCCGGCCCUGGAAGGCUGCUUUGCCAGAGCCCAAACAGCAUGAAAUGAGCUGGCGAAACGCCAGGACAGUCACAUCAGAGUCCCGGCAAAGGGCCAGGCAGGGCCUCCAGCUCUGGAGCUGACCCUUGUGAUGAGGAUGCCGGGGUAACUGCAAACUGCGCUGUGCACUUAGUGGCGGCGUGGUCCGGAGUCUUUCAGAGAUGGCUGUGAGGCCACAUCCCCGUGUCACAACCCGCUGUUCCCAACUUCUCUGCCCAUCCUUGGAUCCGCGGGGACAAUCACGAUGGCCGAGGUGUGAGGAUGCGUGUGUCACGCCUCCUGCUUCGCGCUCCUGGCCCUUCUCAGAACUCGUCUCAUUCCCUCCCUGUCCCGCC
rnacentral:lncRNA from 1 species